UACGUAGGGGGCAAGCGUUAUCCGGAUUUACUGGGUGUAAAGGGAGCGUAGACGGAACAGCAAGUCUGAAGUGAAAUCCCCGGGCUCAACCCGGGAACUGCUUUGGAAACUGUUGAUCUGGAGUGUCGGAGAGGUAAGCGGAAUUCCUGGUGUAGUAGUGAAAUGCGUAGAUAUCAGGAAGAACACCGGAGGCGAAGGCGGCUUACUGGACGAUAACUGACGUUGAGGCUCGAAAGCGUGGGGAG
rnacentral:rRNA from 1 species